AGAGUUUGAUCAUGGCUCAGAUUGAACGCUGGCGGCAUGCUUUACACAUGCAAGUCGAACGGUAACGCGGGGGCAACCCUGGCGACGAGUGGCGAACGGGUGAGUAAUACAUCGGAACAUGUCCUGGAGUGGGGGAUAGCUCGGCGAAAGCCGGAUUAAUACCGCAUACGCUCUGAGGAGGAAAGCGGGGGACCUGGUAACGGGCCUCGCGCUGCGGGAGUGGCCGAUGUCGGAUUAGCUAGUUGGUGAGGUAAAGGCUCACCAAGGCGACGAUCCGUAGCUGGUCUGAGAGGAUGAUCAGCCACACUGGGACUGAGACACGGCCCAGACUCCUACGGGAGGCAGCAGUGGGGAAUUUUGGACAAUGGGGGCAACCCUGAUCCAGCCAUGCCGCGUGAGUGAAGAAGGCCUUCGGGUUGUAAAGCUCUUUCGGACGGAACGAAAUGGUUACGGAUAAUACCUGUGACUGAUGACGGUACUGUAAGAAGAAGCACCGGCUAACUACGUGCCAGCAGCCGCGGUAAUACGUAGGGUGCGAGCGUUAAUCGGAAUUACUGGGCGUAAAGCGUGCGCAGGCGGUUCGCCAAGUCAGGUGUGAAAUCCCCGGGCUUAACCUGGGAAUUGCGCUUGAAACUAGCGGGCUUGAGUGUGGCAGAGGGGGGUGGAAUUCCACGUGUAGCAGUGAAAUGCGUAGAGAUGUGGAGGAACACCGAUGGCGAAGGCAGCCCCCUGGGUCAACACUGACGCUCAUGCACGAAAGCGUGGGGAGCAAACAGGAUUAGAUACCCUAGUAGUCC
rnacentral:rRNA from 1 species